rnacentral:misc_RNA from 1 species
CAGAGUCCGCCUACUUGUAGGCACCUCUCACCCUUGAAUACCUACCUUUGUUGCUUUGGCGGGCCGCGAUUUCGCGUUGGCCUUGGCUAACUGUGCCCGCCGGAGGACCCAAACUCUUUUGUUUAGUGAUGUCUGAGUACUAUAUAAUAGUUA